GACGAACGCUGGCGGCGUGCCUAAUACAUGCAAGUCGAGCGAGACUCUUCGGAGUCUAGCGGCGGACGGGUGAGUAACACGUGGGCAACCUGCCUGUAAGACUGGGAUAACACCGGGAAACCGGUGCUAAUACCGGAUAAUCCUUUUUCUCUCAUGAGGAAAAGCUGAAAGGCGGUUUCGGCUGACACUUACAGAUGGGCCGCGGCGCAUUAGCUAGUUGGUGAGGUAACGGCUCACCAAGGCGACGAUGCGUAGCCGACCUGAGAGGGGGAUCGGCCACACUGGGACUGAGACACGGCCCAGACUCCUACGGGAGGCAGCAGUAGGGAAUCUUCCACAAUGGACGAAAGUCUGAUGGAGCAACGCCGCGUGAGCGAUGAAGGCCUUCGGGUCGUAAAGCUCUGUUGUUAGGGAAGAACAGCUUCCGGAGGAAAUGCCGGAGGUUUGCCGGUACCUCACCAGAAAGCCCCGGCUAACUACGUGCCAGCCGCCGCGGUAA
rnacentral:rRNA from 1 species